UAAUGUCUGGGAAACUGCCUGAUGGAGGGGGAUAACUACUGGAAACGGUAGCUAAUACCGCAUAACGUCGCAAGACCAAAGAGGGGGACCUUCGGGCCUCUUGCCAUCGGAUGUGCCCAGAUGGGAUUAGCUAGUAGGUGGGGUAAUGGCUCACCUAGGCGACGAUCCCUAGCUGGUCUGAGAGGAUGACCAGCCACACUGGAACUGAGACACGGUCCAGACUCCUACGGGAGGCAGCAGUGGGGAAUAUUGCACAAUGGGCGCAAGCCUGAUGCAGCCAUGCCGCGUGUAUG
rnacentral:rRNA from 1 species